CAAUAUACCCUUAUACCCAUUUUUAAUGGGUUCAGGGUAUAAAAACAGCAGCAAACAUUUCUGUGGGAACAAAAUGGGCAUGGAACCAAAAAAAGUUUUGCAACACAUAUUUCAUGCGAGCCUUUUGAGAUAUCUUUUAAGAUACUUUUUAAAAUAUCACAAAACGCUCGCUUGUCGUAUUUCUUGCGACAGUUGUAAAUGAAAUGUUAACUGCCACAAACUGAACGACAUAUGAUUCAUAUUGCAAUCGUUUUCCGAUGCGCUUGCGUGAGAUUUGCCGGGUUAUGUCUCGCAUUUGACCAGUUUACGAUAUCAUUUGAGAACAGUUUGAUCCGCUGGGCUGCAAUUCAGGUAAAACUUUUGGUGCUCUUAACUAUCGUUAAGAUUUCUUCAAAUUGAACUCGUUUCACUGCAAAGCGGCAGCUGCUGCUUUUGUGCUCUAUAUAAGAAAGGGCGGAACUGAUACUGCCAUCAUCCAGGACGAUUGAGAAAAUGUAGGCAACGAAUCUGGAAUAUGGAUAUGGACCUCUGUUUGGUUCGAUUGCGCUCACCAUUGUCAUAACACGCUCAUCACCCUUAGUGGGACGGCACUGGCAUAAACAAAAAAAAAGGUUAGCGGCAUUAAAAAAACAACCUCUUAACCAAUCCCAUCUAUGAAA